rnacentral:rRNA from 1 species
UUGACCUCAAAUCAGGUAAGGAUACCCGCUGAACUUAAGCAUAUCAAUAAGCGGAGGAAAAGAAACCAACAGGGAUUGCCUUAGUAACGGCGAGUGAAGCGGCAAAAGCUCAAAUUUGAAAGCUAGCACCUUCGGUGUUCGCGUUGUAAUUUGAAGAUAGUUUCCUUGAGUAGUCCUUUAUCUAUGUUCCUUGAACAGGACGUCAUAGAGGUGAGACCCCGUAUGAUUUUGGAUACUACUCUUGUGGGAUCUAUCGAGAGUC